ACCGUCUGCCUCAUGUGGAUCUGUGCCUUCCGCGAACCUGCCCUACCACAAUCAACACACCUUGGAUCAACCCGCAACGUCAUCAGAGCUGCGUGCGCCAUCACUGCCAUCAGUCUACCGCAUCUCGGAUCAUCAGUGGACAACCCCAUCGCCAGGAACAUCAUCCGCUGCUGCUACAAAACGCGUGCGCUCAUCGCCACCACUCUGUGGGCCCGGUAGCUGCGCGACAGUGCAGUCUACUAAUCCGCUGCUUUUCAUGAUGCAGGCCAACUGCCCAAAGAAUGGAAACAAGGGAAGGUCGUUCCAGUCCACAAAUCAGCUGCAGACUGGAACGGCCUUCCUAACGACGUUGCUGUCAUUAUGUGCCCAUCCAAUUUCACCGAAAAUGUAAAAAACUUCCUGUUAUUGUGACUAUGUAUUUUUAUUCUUGCCACCCCUUAUGUAACGCUC